CGGGUUGUGACGUUUAUGAGUCUUAUAACAGCGUUCAUGCCAAACUCGCUUUGUCGGCAUAUAAACCUUUAUAUACUGAUCCAUAAUAGCCAUUCCGCAACCAUAACAGCGGUCUGCAUAUUUCGCCAUGUAGUCGUUCUUGCAAUACGCCUUUCCUCGAUGUGAAAUGAUCCAUGUGGUAUUUGCGCCCAAUGGCACUGAUAUAUAAAUCUCGCAAGGCACCACCACAUUCGCUGCAUAGCAUAUCUAA
rnacentral:sRNA from 1 species